rnacentral:lncRNA from 1 species
ACUUGAGCCCAGGAGUUUGAAGCUGCAGUGACCCCAGAUUGCACCACUGUCCUCCAGCCUGGGCAAUAGAGCAAGACCCUUUCUCAAAAAUGAAAAAGAACAUUCUGGAGAGACAGAGAAGCAAGAGGGACCAGAAAGGUGCUUGAGAUAUUUUGCAGACCCUGCACUUGAUGGAUCAGCUGGCACCACCCAGAUCAAUAAACUGGCUCAUCUGAUCUUGUGGCCCCCACCCAGAACUGACUCUGCAAGAAGACAGCUCUGACUCCUGAUGAUUUCAUCUCUGACCAAUCUGCACUCCCAGAUCCCAGCACUUUGGGAGGACCAGACAGGCAGAUCACAAGGUCAGGAUGAGAGGUGACAGCGUGCUGGCAGCCCUCACUCACUCUGGGCGCCUCCUCGGCCUCCACGCCAACUCUCCCUGCGCUUGAGGAGCCCUUCAGCCCGCCGCUGCACUGUGGGAGCCCCUCUCUGGGCUGGCCGAGGCGGGAGCCCGCUCCCUCUGCUUGCCAGAGGUGUGGAGGGAGAGGCGCGGACGGGAACUGGGGCUGCGGGCCACGCUCGAGGGCCAGCAUGAGUUCCGGGUGGGCGUGGGCUCGGUGGGCCCCGCACUCAGAGAGGCCGGCUGGCGCCAUUGGCCCCAGGCAGUGAGGGGCUUAGCACCCAGACCAGCAGCUGCAGAGGGUGCGCCAGGUCCCCCAGCAGUGCCAGCCCACAGGUGCACUUGAAUUCUCGCAGGCCUCAGCUGCCUCCCCACGGGGCAGGGCUUGGGACCUGCAGCCCGCCAUGCCCAAGCGUCCCCCUGCCUGGGCUCCUGCACCGCCCCCUGCUCUGCGGGGCCUGGUCCCAUCAACCGCCCAAGGGCUGAGGAGUGCAGGCACAGGAUUGGUGGGCAGCUCCACCUGCAGCCCAGGUGCUAGGUCCACUAGGUGAAGCCAGCUGGGCUCUUGAGUCUAGUGGGCACUUGGAGAACCUUUAUGUCUAGC